rnacentral:tRNA from 1 species
AGGAUUUAAGUUAAGUAAACUAUUAACUUUCAAAGUUAAAAUUAGAUAAUAAUCUAAGCCUUAA